rnacentral:rRNA from 1 species
UUGACCUCAAAUCAGGUAGGACUACCCGCUGAACUUAAGCAUAUCAAUAAGCGGAGGAAAAGAAACUAACAAGGAUUCCCCUAGUAACUGCGAGUGAAGCGGGAAAAGCUCAAAUUUAAAAUCUGGCGGUCUUGCGGCCGUCCGAGUUGUAAUCUGGAGAAGCGUCUAUCCGCGUCGGACCGUGUACAAGUCUUCUGGAAGGGAGCGUCAUAGAGGGUGAGAAUCCCGUCUUUGACACGGA